rnacentral:rRNA from 1 species
AUACGUAGGGUGCGAGCGUUAAUCGGAAUUACUGGGCGUAAAGCGUGCGCAGGCGGUUUUGUAAGUCAGAUGUGAAAUCCCCGGGCUUAACCUGGGAACUGCGUUUGAAACUGCAAGGCUAGAGUGUGGCAGAGGGGGGUGGAAUUCCGCGUGUAGCAGUGAAAUGCGUAGAGAUGUGGAGGAACACCGAUGGCGAAGGCAGCCCCCUGGGUUAACACUGACGCUCAGGCACGAAAGCAUGGGGAGCAAACAGGAUUAGAAACCCCUGUAGUCC